GCAGACGCAGGGCCGGCGGGAACGAGUGCCCCGCGCCAAAGGGGGCUGGUGCUCCGGGCGCUCGUGGCGUUUCGAAGGUGGGCGGGCUAGCCUGAGUACGCCUUCCCGGCAGAGUUUCUGGUGUCAGAAGUGGGAUCUGAACUAGUCCCCUGAAGAGCCCCAAGGGUGGUAAGUAACCGGGUGCCAGUACCUACCGAGCCCAUUGUUCUCACUGCUUUCUCAACAACCACGGAGUUCCAGGCAACAGAGAACUCCCGAAGAAAACCGCGUGCACAAAGACUUAGCCAAAUACUGCCAGUUAGCACCAGCGCCUACGGGACAGCAGAACCCACAAAACCCUGCACCUCUAUCCAGAAACGUCUAAUAACUUGCUAAAGUUUAAGUCUCCAACUUUGCAGUUAAACUUAUACUAUGGGUUAUCACCCAUGCCCGUGAGAUACCAAAGCCAACUUCUACAACGAUGCUGUCUGGAAAAUUCUCAAUAACUUACUGAAGUCCGAGUUUACAAUGUUUUAAAGUUCAAUCCAUAUGGAGAAUGGAAUGAGAAUUGAAAUGGAAGUACAUGUGGGUUAGCCCCAGUUCUCCUGGUAACUUUAGCCUGUCCGAAAGCGAAUCACGAAAAACUUGGAGACUGCUCCCUCGGAGGAUGACUACGAUAGCUCAGUUUUCUUCAAUCUCUGUGUCUCUAAGCCUUUAACAGAUUGACUUUGAGUAGCACUACCUCUUGUUGGGGUUCCUUCCUUGAAGAGGAAGCUAAAGUGCUCUUCACAGAGUUACUGUAGUUGAAAAUGCCCUACGAAUGAGGUUAAUAUGUAGUAGCUGUGACAGCUUCUCAGACUUCCCUUGUUUUUGAGGGACAGGUUUGAGGAGUACCGGUCAUGAAUAUUGCAGGUGUUGAUGAUUUCUUAUGUGUAACAUUUUGUGAUUAAAAAAUACCAAUCAGGCAGUGCCUGGGUGGCUCAGUUGGCUAAGCGUCCAACUUGGCCUCAGGUCAUGAUCUCGCAGUCUGUGAGUUCGAGCCCCGCGUCAGGCUCUGUGCUGACACUUCAGAGCCUGGAGCCUGCUUUGGAAUUUGUGACUCCCUUUCUCUCUGCCCCUCCCCCGCUCAUGCUCUGUCUCUCAAAAAAUAAACGUUAAAAAAAAUUACCAGUUAUAGUAACACCUGCUGUGAUUACCUUAAAUGCGCAUACACACACGCAUACCACCUCCAUGCUAUCAUUUUAGUGCAAGCCACCAUCAUUUCUCACUCUAACCACUCAGUGGUCUCCCUGCUUUAUCUUAGGCCUCCACUCCCCCCUCUUUUCUCCAUAGAGCAGCCAGAGAGGCUUUAAAAUAUAAGUCAGAUUCUAUGACUUCUGUUCUCCAAUGCUUCAAUGGCUUCUCGUCUUGGAGAAUAAAAUCCUACAAGAGCAUUCAUGCGCUAGCUCCUGGCCACCUCAGCAGUACCAUUACUUAAUUACUUUACCCCCUGGCUCAGUUGCACUGGCUGCAGACCCUGAAAUACCCCCUGCUCCUGCCCUAGAGUCUUUGCACUUGGCCUCUCUACUGGGAACGUUCAUCCCCCACGCACAGUGAGCUCCUUCACUCCUUUCAAGUCUCUGCUCAGAUGUUUCCUGUUGAGAGAGGCAGUCCUCACACCCUAUCUUGCAGAGCAGUCUCCCCCACAAGUCAUCUUUUCACCUUCGCUUUGUUUCAAAAUACUUAUCACUACCUGACAUUAUAUUCUUUAUUUGCUUAUUGUCUGUCUCUUCCGUGAAAAUACAAGUUUCAUCACACCAGAUACUUUAUCCAAUUUGU